UACGGGGGGGGCAAGCGUUGUUCGGAAUUACUGGGCGUAAAGGGUUAGUAGGUGGCCAACUAAGUCAGACGUGAAAUCCCUCAGCUUAACUGGGGAACUGCGUCUGAGACUGAUUGGCUCGAGGACAGGAGAGGAACGCGGAAUUCCAGGUGUAGCGGUGAAAUGCGUAGAUAUCCGGAGGAACACCGGUGGCGAAGGCGGCUUCCUGGACCGAUUACUGACGCUGAGGUGCGAAAGCUAGGGGAGCAAACGGG
rnacentral:rRNA from 1 species